GAUGAACGCUGGCGGCGUGCCUAAUACAUGCAAGUCGAGCGAACAGACGAGGAGCUUGCUCCUCUGACGUUAGCGGCGGACGGGUGAGUAACACGUGGAUAACCUACCUAUAAGACUGGGAUAACUUCGGGAAACCGGAGCUAAUACCGGAUAAUAUAUUGAACCGCAUGGUUCAAUAGUGAAAGACGGUUUUGCUGUCACUUAUAGAUGGAUCCGCGCCGCAUUAGCUAGUUGGUAAGGUAACGGCUUACCAAGGCAACGAUGCGUAGCCGACCUGAGAGGGUGAUCGGCCACACUGGAACUGAGACACGGUCCAGGCUCCUACGGGAGGCAGCAGUAGGGAAUCUUCCGCAAUGGGCGAAAGCCUGACGGAGCAACGCCGCGUGAGUGAUGAAGGUCUUCGGAUCGUAAAGCUCUGUUAUUAGGGAAGAACAAAUGUGUAAGUAACUAUGCACGUCUUGACGGUACCUAAUCAGAAAGCCACGGCUAACUACGUG
rnacentral:rRNA from 1 species